CUCCGUCGUGACGUUAUGAAUCGAGGACGGAAGUGGUGAAUUUAGCCUUAUUCAGCUAAAAAACAAUCAUCUUUAGCAACACAUGUAUUGUAUAGAUGACCAGCAAGGAAGAUGUGAAGGUGAGAUUGAGUAUUUUUAAGGACGUUUGGAUGCCUUUUACGCCAUGAAGAGGUGUUCCUUUUGGGAUCCAUUGCAGCCGAUCAAGCUAAUCUCAGGAAGCCUUCAAUCGGAUCCAGGCAGAUUCCUGAGACCUGAGAGCCAAGAGCAUCACCGGAGCACCCUGCAGACACCCACCCGACUAACCUCAUUACACUGCAGAUCUGUUUGUCGGAGUGUGAGAAAAUGUACAGCCAUGUGAUGUCGCUUGUUUGUUCUUGUUGUCAGAGAAAAGGCAAGGAUCAAUGGAUUUUUCUUGCUAGAGUGAAACAUGACAGACAUAACGAAAGCCUUUCAUGAGAAAUGAAUGAAUAAUUCAUGGAGCGCUCUCUUGCUGUGCUUUGUUGUGUCUCAUACAGAUGGGAUUACAGAAGGCUAGAUCUUGGAAACAUAUGAAAGAUUAAUUUGUGAUCUGGGACACUGCUUGCUUACAAAAGGACUAAAUAAUGAUUUUACUGAGAGUGGCAGGGAUCUGGGGAUGGGUGUGAUGUGCACAUGGGGCUGGACACAAA